rnacentral:rRNA from 1 species
AAUAGAUACCCGGGUAGUCCACGCCGUAAACGAUGAGUGCUAGGUGUUAGGGGGUUUCCGCCCCUUAGUGCUGCAGCUAACGCAUUAAGCACUCCGCCUGGGGAGUACGAUCGCAAGACUGAAACUCAAAGGAAUUGACGGGGGCCCGCACAAGCGGUGGAGCAUGUGGUUUAAUUCGAAGCAACGCGAAGAACCUUACCAGGUCUUGACAUCCCGCUGACCGCCAUGGAGACAUGGCUUUCCCUUCGGGGACAGCGGUGACAGGUGGUGCAUGGUUGUCGUCAGCUCGUGUCGUGAGAUGUUGGGUUAAGUCCCGCAACGAGCGCAACCCUUGUCCUUAGUUGCCAUCAUUCAGUUGGGCACUCUAAGGAGACUGCCGUACAAAUCGGAGGAAGGUGGGGAUGACGUCAAAGUCAUCAUGCCCCUUAUGACCUGGGCUACACACGUGCUACAAUGGGUGCUACAAAGGGCAGCGAACCCGCGAGGGGGAGCGAAUCCCGAAAAAGCCACUCUCGAGUUCGGAUUGCAGGCUGAC